CUUCGGUUUGGGUGGCGGACGGGUGAGUAACGCGUAAAGAACUUGCCUCACAGAUAGGGACAACAUUUGGAAACGAAUGCUAAUACCUGAUAUUAUGAUUAUAUGGCAUCCUAUGAUUAUGAAAGCUAUAUGCGCUGUGAGAGAGCUUUGCGUCCCAUUAGCUAGUUGGAGAGGUAACGGCUCACCAAGGCGAUGAUGGGUAGCCGGCCUGAGAGGGUGAUCGGCCACAAGGGGACUGAGACACGGCCCUUACUCCUACGGGAGGCAGCAGUGGGGAAUAUUGGACAAUGGACCAAGAGUCUGAUCCAGCAAUUCUGUGUGCACGAUGAAGUUUUUCGGAAUGUAAAGUGCUUUCAGUUGGGAAGAAAAAAAUGACGGUACCAACAGAAGAAGUGACGGCUAAAUACGUGCCAGCAGCCGCGGUAAUACGUAUGUCACAAGCGUUAUCCGGAUUUAUUGGGCGUAAAGCGCGUCUAGGUGGUUAUGUAAGUCUGAUGUGAAAAUGCAGGGCUCAACUCUGUAUUGCGUUGGAAACUGUGUAACUAGAGUACUGGAGAGGUAAGCGGAACUACAAGUGUAGAGGUGACAUUCGUAGAUAUUUGUAGGAAUGCCGAUGGGGAAGCCAGCUUACUGGACA
rnacentral:rRNA from 1 species